rnacentral:lncRNA from 1 species
AGUGUGAUGUGAGACUUCUCAACAUACACUUGGGAUAGUGCAGAGUUAUAUAUUUUGGUUUGAUAGAGAUUUCACAAUGGGAAACAGAUGUUCCUCUAAAGUUCUUCCCAUUGACUUCCAGAAAAAGGCCUCAGAAGGUGAGGAGGCAAAGUCACCUAAGGUGGCACCAAGGAAGAAAAGAACUUCUCUGGUGUGGAGACUAAAUUUUAAGAAAAAAUUGCUGCGACACAAUGCUGUCGUUUCAGUAGAACAGCAAAAUGAAGAACUCUGAAGCACUUUUUUGAAGAUGAAGACCUUACAAGAAGGCAAAGUCAUCACUCACUAAGGUCCAGUUGGGAAAAUGAAGAUCCUGUAUGUAUUCUGUAAUGACUCUUAGAAUAUAUUUUAUAUAAGAAAAAAAAAAAAAAA